UACAGAGACUGCAAGCGUUAUUCGGAUUCACUGGGCGUAAAGGGUGCGCAGGCGGUUGGGUGUGUCAGAUGUGAAAUCCCCUCGGCUUAACCGGGGGAACUGCGUCUGAUACUGGAUGGCUUGAGGUUGGGAGAGGGAUGCGGAAUUCCAGGUGUAGCGGUGAAAUGCGUAGAUAUCUGGAGGAACACCGGUGGCGAAGGCGGCAUCCUGGACCAAUUCUGACACUGAGGAGCGAAAGCCAGGGGAGCAAACGGG
rnacentral:rRNA from 1 species